UCUUCAUCGCAACAUUUUGAGAAGGCAAAACGCACUCACGCAUAGCACGCCAUCGAUUCGCCGCCGCUCACCCAACUCCCUCGCUGCUCUGUGGCCGCCGGCCGGCCGGCCGGCCACACCACCCACCUCCCUCGCCGCCGGCAGCCCUCACCCUCCCAACUCACUCGCCGCCGGAAACCCUCACCCACCAAUCCUCUCCGCCGCCGGAAACCCUCUCCCACCCAUUCCUCUCCGCCCUCUCAUCCCCGCGCGCCCGCCAAUGCCCUAGAGGUCGGCGUCAAGAACCCCCGCCAGGCGAUGGUCCUCGCCGGCCAUCCGGAGCGCCUGAAGCUGGGCGCCCCCGUCCAGCCCAACCUGACGCUGUGGUGCCUCCCGUCGACCUGGGAUCCCCGACCCGCUCCGCCGCCCUCACUCCCCGCCUCGACGCAGCAGUCGUAGAUGGUGGUCGCCUUCCCGGAGAUGCGGCCACCGGCGACCUCUUGUACAACCGUGCCGAUCUGCAACCGACGGCGACGUCCCCUGUCGGGUACGCUGCUGCUGCCGCCUACCGGAGACCACUCCGUCCCUUUGCCUCCCCAUCUUGCAGCUGUUCGGUGAGGCAAUCGUUUUCUGCAACACAUGUGGCGGACAUAUUGAGCGCUGGGAGUUGUGAGUUGUGCAGCUUGCGGGCAGGUCCGUGAUCUUGCCAGCACCAACAGCAGCGCCGUUGUGCCCUCAUGCUCAAGCCUACCUUCGUCCACGCCGAGUAGCCAAUUCCCCAAGGCUUCCACUUGGUGUCUUCAACUUGGUGUUUCUGCCAUAGGGGAGGACUUGGAGGAGGAGCACAUUGAGGAUAAGUCCAUGGAAGAUCAUGUUGAAAGUUCAAACUGAACAAAGCAUUGCAUGCCAGGUGCUGAGAAGCAAGAGUCCAAUGGUGGCACAAGAUGGUGUUGCUGUUGGUGCCGUCGUGUUGGUCGACACACGCAGCCAGCUUGGCCAUCAACAAUGGCAUGUACAAGAUACAAGACACCAUUGUUGGUAGAUCUGUGUGAGUUGAGUGUAUCUCUGCACUAUAGCUUCCUAGCAGUUCAGUUAACGCAGCCGAAAGAGCAGCAGGCAGCGGUGUCCUUGGUGACACGCCGAUAGUUGAAAUGGUAUCCACCAAUAUGAUGACGGCCUUCUCGUAGAUCCCUCUCACCGCAUCUCUCCCUCAAUCCCCUUUCUCCACUCAAUUUACCGGCACAGCUGCAGCUGCUCGUUGCUGCUCCCCGAGGCUCACCCCACCCCAUGACACCCACCCAACUCCCUCGCUACCGGACACUCCCACCAAUCCAAUCCUCUAAGCCCCCUGAUUCCCGCGCGCCCACCAUGCCCUAGACGUCGGCGUCAAGAACCUCCGCCCGGUGCUGGUCCUCGCCAUCUGGAACGCCUGGAGAUCGGUGUCACACCCACCAUGUUGCCUCCUGUUGUCCUGGGCUGCCGGCGCCCCUUCGCCUCCCUCCCUGCCUCAACGCACCAGUCGCGGGCAACGGCACAAGCAGCAGUCUAGACCGACACCGGAUGUGGAGGACCUCCUCCAUGGCGUCUGCGUCCUGCCUUCAUGUAGCUGCAGCCGCCGUCGGCGACCUUCUAGAAAACCUCCACGAUCUGCGGCCGCCAGCAACGUCCACGCCCUUCUGCUGCCUUGAGACCACUCCUUCCCGCCGCCGUCGACCACAUCCCAAACUUGCAGUUGCUAGUCUGGCAACUAAAUAGAUCAGCCGUGGGCAAGGAGAAGACUCACAUUAACAACGUGGCCAUUUGCCAUGUUGACUCUGGCAAGUCGACCACCAUUGAUCAUCUGGUUUAAGAAGGAAGCCAUUGAGACCCACCCUCUCCGCCACUCUUGGAGUGAAGCAGCUUCUGCAAAGUUUCUUACCAGAAAACCUUGUAUACUGCAUACAAGAAGAGGACCAAGAAUGGAUGAAUACAAUACAAGAAAAGAAAGUGACCCUGGAUUCUAAUAAGAGGCUUCAAGUUUUCAUAUGUUUGGCAACUAAAUAGAUUAUCCAUGGGCAAUGAGAAGACUCUCAUUAACAUCAUGGCCAUUUGCCAUGUUGACUCUGGCAAGGUGACCACCAUUGGCCAUCUGGUUUGAGAAGGAAGCCAUUGAGACCCGCCCUCUUUGCAUGUUCGCUCUUUGAGUGAAGCAGCUGCUAUAAUGUUUCUUACCAGAAAACCUUGUAUACUACAUGCAAGAAGAGGACCAUGAAUGGAUGCAUACAAUACAGGAAGAGAAAGUGACGCUGAAUUCUACUGUGAAGCUUCAAGUUUUCAAUAUGGCAAGGUAGCGGAACCAGAGCAGUAUGUCAUGGAGGGUUGCUUGGCCAACGGAUCAGGUCUUUGAUGACCCCGAGAUGCUUCUCUGAUCUGAAUAUGUGCUGAACAAGAUUAGCAGUGUCAGAGUCAUACAUCCACGUUUUGCAAAGCUGAUCCAUCGCUGGUGCUAUCCAUUGCUGCUGGAUCCGGCAUGUCAGAAACCUGGAAAGAUUCGGAAUGUGUUGUGCUGCAUUGGUUCAGACUCAUAGUUGAGCAGGCCGCGCAAGGAUGCUGUGGAUAUCUCUUCUCUGGCAAGGGUGAACCAGACUCCACUUACCUGCUCACCACCGGGGUGCCAGGGAGAGCCUCUACAUGAACAUCAAGACCACUGCUCCCUGUAUGAAUCAACUGGCCCUUCUCCGUUUCCCCCGUUGAUGGCCGUCCAAGAUAAGACCCGCCGCUCCUGAUCGAUGCCGUGAUUAUAUCCAGCCGCUGGGAGUACUGGGGCAAUGUGGUUGGGCAUAUAUAGGCUGGAUAUGUGGGAACGAGCCAACUUCCAAGGCACAUCGACUAGAGGGGAUCACUGUGUCGUGCUUAUUUGGGGGGCAAUCUUCAUUUGCUCCUGAGUGAUGGCCGGUUGUUUUUUCCUCACCAAAAUGUCAAGCUUGCUGAAUGUAUGUGCUUAUCCUUGUAACUGGACUGCAUUGUAUUCUCUGGUUUGGAUUCUGACUGGUACGUCCACUGUCUGAUGUGGCAUGUGCAUGGAGCACACUGGCCAGCUGCGCUGAUUGGAGCAGCAUGGCAUUGCACCUCACUGGACGGUGGCGACGCAGCAUCACUCUUGCUGGUGUCGACGCUGGAUGGUGAACUCUUCCUUGGACCUAGCUGGCGGCCCAAGCAUGCUGAUGCUGCUCCCUAUUUGCAUCAAGUUCAGACUGCUAUAUCCACAGUAUGCUGCAAGUUGUGCGCUCUCUACCAGGAGUCCAUUGACUGGAUUUGAAAAAAUGCUAUCUUGAGCAACAUGUGCGAGAGUUUCAGCGGGAGGCGGCGCGCAGCCCGCAAGCUGUUAGCGGCUGAAGCCCAGCUCUUGCAGGCACCACCAACCAGCUCCGUCGCCACAUUGCACGCCCUCUUGCCCAGUCCUCCUUGUUGCAGACAGCUAAGAUGUACACAAGCACCGUUGCCCCGGCCUAGCCGACAAUGCAAGGUUGCUACUGCUGUAUAUAUUCACCACAUGCUUUAGCCAUUGGACUUGGCGAAGAUGUACUCGGAGUUCAAGGAGGUUGAUGUUGAAGUGUCAGCCGACGAGGAGGAAUCAAGUGAAGAAGAGUAUACAAUGGAAGGACAUUUAUAUUGGCGGCGUAAGGGAGAAGGAUGGGCACUUCGGUAUGUUUGCAGAGAAGGGGCGACGCCCGCGUGGCUCGGCAUAUUGUUCAACCGAACUUCUCGCUGACCAGCUAUGUACGCGGUCACUUUGGAGUCUGGAAGCAUGACCUGGAAUGCUGUCCAUGGCCAAGUUUGUUUUGUUCUUAGUUUGUGUAUGUGUUUUAUUUAGACGACCAGACUAGUGAUCUGAGUUGGAUGGUGGUCGGUUUGGAUGUCGUGUUAGUUGUUGUGCUGCAUAUGCACUUUUAUAGGUGAUUAUUUGGUCUGUGACCUGAAUGCUGAAAAAAUAGAAAAACUUAUGCCAAAAUUUCGAUUAUUUUUGUAUAGUUUGCUGUUGCUAAGUGUUAGCUGGAGAAUAUGUAUUUUUUUCCUUAUUGGUAGAAGAUGUAGCUGUGUACGAAAUAUUUUGAGCGUGAUGACUACGGUUUGUAGAAGCAUAA